UGUUGCCAAGUGAUAGAGAAUUCUUUCUUU
rnacentral:piRNA from 1 species